UCAAACUUGGUCAUUUAGAGGAAGUAAAAGUCGUAACAAGGUCUCCGUUGGUGAACCAGCGGAGGGAUCAUUACAGGAAUCGCAAGACUCCCUGAAACCACUGUGAAUCUUACCGAAACGUUGCCUCGGCGGGUGCCGCGGCGCUGGGUCUCGGCCCGGCCCGCGGCGCGCCUCCCGCCGGCGGCCCACCAAACCAAACUCUUGUCUCUAGCGUUGCAUCUCUGAGUCUUAUACCAAAUAAGUCAAAACUUUCAACAACGGAUCUCUUGGUUCUGGCAUCGAUGAAGAACGCAGC
rnacentral:misc_RNA from 1 species